UUUUAAUUAAAAAAUUAAAAGUAUUUUUGAAUUAUGAAGACUAAUUUCGUAAAUAAGAUAAAAUAGAUGAUUAAAGCUGUAAUUACACGUAUUUCUUUCUAUUGCAAAUAAUCCUUCAUCCAUCAUUAUCAUCACAAAAGCACAUGAUCGAAAUCACUAUUGUUUGUUGUCGGAGCAGUCGUGUUGGAAUUCUCAGACACUCAUAAGGCUAAGAUUGUGGAAAGGAGCUCACUUUAUACCACUUAUGGUCAGAUAGGAAAGGAGCUCAAAGCAUUUUGAAUUUUCAUCAAGGAUACAAAUUAAAUAUAAAUGAUUGCAAUCUUGGUUGAAGAGGCUGGUUGAAGGUGCUGCACAGACUGGAGAUCUUUUGUUGUUGUAACAUUUGAUCUUUUACUUUGAGAUUGUAAUCAAUGUAAUAUAUCAAUUCUUACACUGUAAUUGUGUUCAUGGAUCUAAAAGUAUCUUUUUUUUUUAUACAA